CCUACGGGAGGCAGCAGUAGGGAAUCUUCCACAAUGGGCGAAAGCCUGAUGGAGCAACGCCGCGUGAGUGAUGAAGGCCUUCGGGUUGUAAAACUCUGUCAUUCGGGACGAACCGGAGUCUGAGGAAAUGCGGACUCUCUGACGGUACCGGAGGAGGAAGCCCCGGCUAACUACGUGCCAGCAGCCGCGGUAAUACGUAGGGGGCAAGCGUUGUCCGGAUUCACUGGGCGUAAAGCGCGCGCAGGCGGUGAUGUAAGUCUGAGGUGAAAACCCCGAAGCUCAACUUCGGGACUGCCUUGGAUACUGCGUCACUUGAGGAUAGGAGAGGCAAGGGGAAUUCCACGUGUAGCGGUGAAAUGCGUAGAGAUGUGGAGGAACACCUGUGGCGAAGGCGCCUUGCUGGCCUAUUUCUGACGCUGAGGCGCGAAAGCGUGGGGAGCAAACAGGAUUAGAUACCCUGGUAGUCCACGCUGUAAACGAUGAGUGCUAGGUGUAGGUGGGCUCAAUCCCAUCUGUGCCGAAGCUAACGCAUUAAGCNCNCCGCCGNGGGAGGUACGGUCGCGAGACGUAGAAACGUUAAAGGUAAGUUAGACGGACGUGAGACGUUGCCGACGGACGACGACGAGGGGAGGAGG
rnacentral:rRNA from 1 species